GUGCUUGCUUCAGCAGCACAUAUACUAAAAUUGGAAUGAUAGAGAAGAUUAGCAUGGCCCCUGCACAAGGAUGACACCCAAAUUUGUGAAGCGUUCCAUAUUUUU
rnacentral:snRNA from 1 species